UGGGGAUGACGUCAAGUCAUCAUGCCCCUUAUGUCCUGGGCUGCACACGUGCCACAAUGGCCGGCACAAUGGGCUGCGAUACCGCGAGGUGGAGCGAAUCCCAUAAAACCGGCCCCAGUUCGGAUCGAAGGCUGCAACUCGCCUUCGUGAAGUCGGAGUUGCUAGUAAUCGCGGAUCAGCAUGCCGCGGUGAAUACGUUCCCGGGCCUU
rnacentral:rRNA from 1 species